CACGCCCUAAACGAUGAGUGCCAGGUGUCGGGAAGCUUAGCUUCUCGGCGCCGCAGCUAACGCCUUAAGCACUCCGCCUGGGGAGUACGGCCGCAAGGUUAAAACUCAAAGGAAUUGACGGGGGCCCGCACAAGCGGUGGAGCAUGUGGUUUAAUUCGACGCAACGCGCAGAACCUUACCAGGCCUUGACAUCCUACGCGACCUCGAGAGAUCGGGGGUUCCCUUCGGGGACGUAGAGACAGGUGC
rnacentral:rRNA from 1 species